UGUCUGUCCCCGAGUUCCUGUGUUGCCUACCUUUUGAAAGGCACUCUUUUUGCUUGUUGGACUUUAUCCGUUCCAGCCUCUCUUGUUGGGUUGCGAAGGGCUUUCGAGGUGAAAUACGUGGCUUGCCCUUUAGUUUUCUGUAAUGUCGACUAUUUUGGGCACGCGUACUAAUCGAGUUCCUGGAUGUGGUGCAUGAGGCGAACGUGGGUUAUUUAUAUCCCAUUGUGUCCCUUAAUCGUUAGGUUGCCUUAAAAGAUGCUUGCCUUCAUGCAUGCUCUGGCAUUCAUUUUUGGGUCCAAAGCUUGCAUGAUGUGCAAU
rnacentral:misc_RNA from 1 species